AGUGACUCUCCUGCCUCAGCCUCCCGAGUAGCUGGGAUUACAGAUCAGCCAUAUUCUAACAAUACAUUUCAAAGUACUGCUGACGGAGGCUCCACCUGAAACCUGUUCUCUCAGAUAAGUAUCUUCAUCCCAUUCAUCGUUUCAAGAAAAAUAAAUAAAUAAAUCUUACAGCACGGCAGCAUUUUCAUCUGCUUUGGUUUCAGCCAGAGAUAAACUGUUCCUGCUGCAAAGUAAUUAAUAUCAGUCGCCUGGAAAGCAGAAAUUGGGAGACAACAGGCUCCUCUUUCUUGAUAAACAGAUUGUUGGGUUUCCUUUGGGAGGGGAAGGAAUAACCUUGAAGAGAGGUGAGAAUUGUCAUGGAUUUUGUGUGACUUGUUACUCAAGAUGACUCAUUAAGCUGCCAAGAGCCUCACAGCCCAUCCAAACUUCUCAAACAACCCCUUCAAUUCCAGCCCUUGACCUGAUCUAUGUAGAGGGUUGGAAAAUUCACAGCAAUACAAAGCUAUGGAAACAGACUGUCAUCCACAUAUAUGUUGGGUGAUGGGGGAGACAUGAAGAGUGAGAGACUGUGGAGACAGGAAAGUAGCAACAUUUGCCAUGAGAUUUUCCUCGAAACCAUCUCCUUCUUGAAUUUAGACACUCAUUGUUUAUG
rnacentral:lncRNA from 1 species